UACGGGGGGGGCAAGCGUUGUUCGGAAUUACUGGGCGUAAAGGGCUCGUAGGCGGCCAACUAAGUCGGACGUGAAAUCCCCAGGCUCAACCUGGGAACUGCGUCCGAUAUUGGAUGGCUUGAAUCCGGGAGAGGGAUGUAGAAUUCCAGGUGUAGCGGUGAAAUGCGUAGAUAUCUGGAGGAAUACCGGUGGCGAAGGCGGCAUCCUGGACCAUUACAGACGCUGAGGCGCGAAAGCUAGGGGAGCAAACGGG
rnacentral:rRNA from 1 species